rnacentral:rRNA from 1 species
UACGGAGGGUGCAAGCGUUGUCCGGAAUCACUGGGCGUAAAGCGUGCGCAGGCGGUUCGCCAAGUCAGGUGUGAAAUCCCCGGGCUUAACCUGGGAAUUGCGCUUGAAACUAGCGGGCUUGAGUGCGGCAGAGGGGGGUGGAAUUCCACGUGUAGCAGUGAAAUGCGUAGAGAUGUGGAGGAACACCGAUGGCGAAGGCAGCCCCCUGGGUCGACACUGACGCUCAUGCACGAAAGCGUGGGGAGCAAACAGG